GCACUGUAGCGUAGUCCAUCGCACAUUUCGGAUAGACUGCUAAUAAUUGCUCCGAAGGCGGAGGCCAGAGGUUCGAAUCCUCUCGGGUGCGCCA
rnacentral:tRNA from 1 species